ACAGAUGCCUCAGAGCCCCGGGCCGCAGUUAAGGUGACGAGAUGCAGCAAUUCUUUAUGAACAUUUCAUUCCUGCUCGCUACACGACGUAAAUUAGAUGGUGUGUUACAUUCGGGCAAUAAGAGAGAUAUGUCACCACGACGCUGGCCCAUUGGAUGGAGAGGGGGUUUGGCGAAGAGCUGAAAGGAUUUCACCCUGAUGUGCACACUACUGAGUGACCCCGCUCACCAGCGGCUCCGCUGAUUGCUUUGCACCUUGCAGACGCCGCAAUUGGCUCAGCCUC
rnacentral:lncRNA from 1 species